rnacentral:rRNA from 1 species
UUAACCAAGCAGCUAGCCCCCCCCCCCCCCCCCAUUUCAAGUAAUAAAUAUUUAUAACCCCAAACACACCAUAUCACAAACAACAAAUCAUUUUCCCCCCCUAGUAUGGGCGACAGAAAAGGAGACCAGGAGCUAUAGAGAAAGUACCGCAAGGGAAUGCUGAAAGAGAAGUGAAAAAACCCAGUAAAGCAAAUAAAAGCAGAGCUACCCCCUCGUACCUUUUGCAUCAUGAAUUAGCCAGUACUACUCAAGCAAAGGGCACUUUAGUUUGAAACCCCGAAACUAGAUGAGCUACUUCAAGCCAGCCUAUAUAGGGCAAACCCGUCUCUGUGGCAAAAGAGUGGGACGAGCUUCAAGUAGUGGUGACAGACCUAUCGAAUCUAGUUAUAGCUGGUUGCCUGGGAACUGGAUACGAGUUCAGCCCCCAGGCUUCUCCGCUCAUCCCCCAGCCAUUAUCCCGAUUAAGAGAAACCAGGGGAGUUAAUCAAAGGGGGUACAGCCCCUUUGACCCAAGACACAACUUUUUCAGGCGGGUGUGGAUCAAAAUAUGACAAGGUAACCCCCUGGGUGGGCCUGAAAGCAGCCAUCCCCACAGAAAGCGUUAAAGCUCAGACAUCCUACCAACCCCUAUUAUCCCGAUAAACUCCUCCCAACCCCCUAAUUUUACCAGGCCGUCCCAUACUACUAUGGGAGCGAUCAUGCUAAUAUGAGUAACAAGAAUGGCUUCCGCCUUUCUCCUAGCACACAUGUACCUCGGAGCAGACUAACUACCGAACCUUAACGACCCCAAACCAAGAGGGUACUGAACAAUACUCAAAAUUACAAGAAACCCCCCCAAACCCACACCGUUAACCCCACACAGGCGUGCCUAAAAGGAAAGACUUAAAGAAAGAGAAGGAACUCGGCAAACACUAUGCCUCGCCUGUUUACCAAAAACAUCGCCUCUUGCAAAAGCAACAAAUAAGAGGUCCUGCCUGCCCCGUGACUAUAUGUUCAACGGCCGCGGUAUUUUGACCGUGCAAAGGUAGCGUAAUCACUUGUCUCUUAAAUGGAGACCUGUAUGAAUGGCAAGACGAGGGCUCAACUGUCUCCCCUCUCUGGUCAAUGAAAUUGAUCUCCCCGUGCAGAAGCGGGGAUCCCCCCAUAAGACGAGAAGACCCUGUGGAGCUUUAGACACUAAAAUAGACCAUGUCCCUCCCCCAAGUAUAAAUGACAAAACUUAAUGACCCCCUAUCCUACUGUCUUCGGUUGGGGCGACCGCGGAGAAACAAACAUCCUCCACGCGGAAUAAGAGCACUACUCUUACAAACAAGAUUUCCCACUCUAACGUAACAGAAUUUCUGACCUUAUGAUCCGGCAAUGCCGAUUAACGAACCAAGUUACCCCAGGGAUAACAGCGCAAUCCUCUCUUAGAGACCAUAUCGACGAGUGGGUUUACGACCUCGAUGUUGGAUCAGGACAUCCUAAUGGCGCAGCCGCUAUUAAGGGUUCGUUUGUUCAACGAUUAAAGUCCUACGUGAUCUGAGUUCAGACCGGAGUAAUCCAGGUCAGUUUCUAUCUAUGUGUUACUUUUUCUAGUACGAAAGGACCGAAAAGAUAGAGCCCAUGUUCUUAGUACCCUCUAAUCUUACCUGAUGCAAACAACUAAAUUAGGCAAGGGACACUGAGUUUAAUCUGAGAGGACGAUUC